UACGUAGGGCGCGAGCGUUGUCCGGAUUUAUUGGGCGUAAAGAGCUCGUAGGCGGCUUGUUGCGUCAGCUGUGAAAACCCGCAGCUCAACUGUGGGCUUGCAGCUGAUACGGGCAGGCUUGAGUUCGGUAGGGGAGACUGGAAUUCCUGGUGUAGCGGUGAAAUGCGCAGAUAUCGGGAAGAACACCCGUGGCGAAGGCGGCUCUCUGGGACGGUACUGACGCUGAGACGCGAAAGCGUGGGGAGCGAACAGG
rnacentral:rRNA from 1 species